ensembl:rRNA 5S_rRNA 5S ribosomal RNA
GUCUACGGCCAUACCACCCUGAACGUGCCCCAUCUCGUCUGAUCUUGGAAGCUAAGCAGGGUUGGGCCUGGUUAGUACUUGGAUGGGAGACAAAUAAGCAUAUGAAAAGAUGUUUCCU